rnacentral:rRNA from 1 species
GACGAACGCUGGCGGCGUGCUUAACACAUGCAAGUCGAACGGAAAGGCCCUGCUUUUGUGGGGUGCUCGAGUGGCGAACGGGUGAGUAACACGUGAGUAACCUGCCCUUGACUUUGGGAUAACUUCAGGAAACUGGGGCUAAUACCGGAUAGGAGCUCCUGCUGCAUGGUGGGGGUUGGAAAGUUUCGGCGGUUGGGGAUGGACUCGCGGCUUAUCAGCUUGUUGGUGGGGUAGUGGCUUACCAAGGCUUUGACGGGUAGCCGGCCUGAGAGGGUGACCGGCCACAUGGGGACUGAGAUACGGCCCAGACUCCUACGGGAGGCAGCAGUGGGGAAUAUUGCACAAUGGGCGGAAGCCUGAUGCAGCAACGCCGCGUGCGGGAUGACGGCCUUCGGGUUGUAAACCGCUUUCGCCUGUGACGAAGCGUGAGUGGCGGUAAUGGGUAAAGAAGCACCGGCGAACUACGU